CAAAGGGGGUGUAGCGGAUCUCAAAACUCUUCUGCGAAGGACUCAGUAAAAAACAGCUGAUUCAAAGGGGGUGUAGCGGAUCUCAAAACUCUUCUGCGAAGGACUCAGUAAAAAACAGCUGAUUCAAAGGGGGUGUAGCGGAUCUCAAAACUCUUCUGCGAAGGACUCAGGUAGGAUACUCUUGUGCUUCCUCUCUGGGAGAAGGCUCCUCUGUUGGCCUUUUCUCAAUUAGAUUUGCUCAAGGCCUGCGUCCUCUCUUCUAUGUCCUCU